UGCUCUCUUCGGCAGCACACAUCUAAAACUGGAACGAUACAGAGAAGAUUAGCAUGGCCCCUGCACAAGGACGACGCACAAAUAUGUGAAGUGUUCCAUAUAAUC
rfam:Canis lupus familiaris chromosome 19, whole genome shotgun sequence.